rnacentral:rRNA from 1 species
AAACAGAUGCUAAUACCGCAUAACAACUUGGACCGCAUGGUCCGAGUUUGAAAGAUGGCUUCGGCUAUCACUUUUGGAUGGUCCCGCGGCGUAUUAGCUAGAUGGUGGGGUAACGGCUCACCAUGGCAAUGAUACGUAGCCGACCUGAGAGGGUAAUCGGCCACAUUGGGACUGAGACACGGCCCAAACUCCUACGGGAGGCAGCAGUAGGGAAUCUUCCACAAUGGACGAAAGUCUGAUGGAGCAACGCCGCGUGAGUGAAGAAGGGUUUCGGCUCGUAAAACUCUGUUGUUAAAGAAGAACAUAUCUGAGAGUAACUGUUCAGGUAUUGACGGUAUUUAACCAGAAAGCCACGGCUAACUACGUGCCAGCAGCCGCGGUAAUACGUAGGUGGCAAGCGUUGUCCGGAUUUAUUGGGCGUAAAGCGAGCGCAGGCGGUUUUUUAAGUCUGAUGUGAAAGCCUUCGGCUCAACCGAAGAAGUGCAUCGGAAACUGGGAAACUUGAGU